UACGUAGGGGGCAAGCGUUGUCCGGAUUUAUUGGGCGUAAAGAGCGUGUAGGCGGCCGUACAGGUCAGCUGUGAAAACUCGAGGCUCAACCUCGAGACGUCGGUUGAAACCGUACGGCUAGAGUCCGGAAGAGGAGAGUGGAAUUCCCGGUGUAGCGGUGAAAUGCGCAGAUAUCGGGAAGAACACCCGUGGCGAAGGCGGCUCGCUGGGACGGUACUGACGCUGAGACGCGAAAGCGUGGGGAGCGAACAGG
rnacentral:rRNA from 1 species